CGACUGGUCAGGUGAGAGGACCUGAACAAAUCAGGAUCUGUUACCUUGCGUAAGCAUGGACGUCUGGCCAAUAGCGUGUGAAUGCCAUUGAAGGAGGGGUCUUGGCAUGGCA